UACGUAGGGGGCAAGCGUUGUCCGGAAUCAUUGGGCGUAAAGCGCGUGUAGGCGGUUCGGUAAGUCCGCUGUGAAAGUCGGGGGCUCAACCCUCGGAUGCCGGUGGAUACUGUCGAGCUUGAGUACGGAAGAGGCGAGUGGAAUUCCUGGUGUAGCGGUGAAAUGCGCAGAUAUCAGGAGGAACACCGGCGGCGAAGGCGGCACUCUGGGCCGGUACUGACGCUGAGGAGCGAAAGCGUGGGUAGCAAACAGG
rnacentral:rRNA from 1 species